UUAAAGGAAUUGGCGGGGGGAGUACCACAACCGGUGGAGCCUGCGGUUUAAUUGGAUACAACGCCGGGAAUCUUACCGGAGGGGACAGCAGUAUGAAGGCCAGGCUAAAGACCUUGCCAGAUCAGCUGAGAGGAGGUGCAUGGCCGUCGCCAGUUCGUACCGUGAGGCAUCCUGUUUAGUCAGGCAACGAUCGAGACCCGCAGUCUUAUUUGCCAGCAUGCCCUUUGGGGUGUAUGGGUACAAUAAGACGACCGCCAGCGCUAAGCUGGAGGAAGGAGCGGGCUACGGUAGGUCAGCAUGCCCCGAAUCCUCCGGGAUACACGCGGGCUACAAUGGUCAGGACAAAAGGUACCGACCUCGAAAGAGUGAGGUAAUCCACAAACCUGAUCUCAGUCCGGAUCGAAAGCUGCAACUCGCCUUCGUGAAGAUGGAAUCGGUAGUAAUCGUGACUCAGAAUGUCACGUUGAAUAUGUCCCUGCUCCUUGCACUCA
rnacentral:rRNA from 1 species